GACGAACGCUGGCGGCGUGCUUAACACAUGCAAGUCGAACGGUGAACUCCGCUUGCGGGGGGAUCAGUGGCGAACGGGUGCGUAACACGUGGGCAACCUGCCCUCAGCUCUGGGAUAACUCCAAGAAAUUGGGGCUAAUACCGGAUAUGACCGCUGACCGCAUGGUCUGGUGGUGGAAAGAUUUAUCGGCUGGGGAUGGGCCCGCGGCCUAUCAGCUUGUUGGUGGGGUAGUGGCCUACCAAGGCGACGACGGGUAGCCGGCCUGAGAGGGUGACCGGCCACACUGGGACUGAGACACGGCCCAGACUCCUACGGGAGGCAGCAGUGGGGAAUAUUGCGCAAUGGGCGAAAGCCUGACGCAGCGACGCCGCGUGGGGGAUGACGGCCUUCGGGUUGUAAACCUCUUUCAGCAGGGACGAAGCGAAAGUGACGGUACCUGCAGAAGAAGCACCGGCCAACUACGUG
rnacentral:rRNA from 1 species